GACGAACCGUGCGAACGUUAUUCGGAAUCACUGGGCUUAAAGCGCGUGUAGGCGGGCCGGCACGUCGGGUGCUGAAAGCCCCCGGCUCAACCGGGGAAGCGGCCUCGAUACGACCGGCCUGGAGGGGGGUAGGGGGAGCCGGAACUUCCGGUGGAGCGGUGAAAUGCGUUGAGAUCGGAAGGAACGCCCGUGGCGAAAGCGGGCUCCUGGACCCCACCUGACGCUGAGACGCGAAAGCCAGGGGAGCGAA
rnacentral:rRNA from 1 species